GCGCCCUACGACCCGAGCUCCCUCCUUCUAUGUCCCCCCAUGAGCUUCCACCCUUGCUCUCUGGCCCGAGCUUUACUCUCGCGCUCUCUCUCUCUCUCUCUCUCUUCGGCCCAAAAAACAUUUUGCCCAAAAAAACCAUUUUAUCUCUGUGAACCGAGGUCUCUCCCUCUCUCAACUAAAGAUAGCAGGGCUCAAGCCCGAACCGAUGAAGCCCGAGCUCUAUUUUUAGCUUAUCUUUCAUCCCAAAUCAGCCCCAUCAAAGUGUUGGAUCUAUGACCAUUUUCGAGUUCUAGCUACCAUGCAUGCAUUGGCCAUCAACCUAGAGAUGCUUAUGACUUGCAUGUGGAAGAAUAUCUCGUUUAAUAUGGUGACCUGGCAACUGUAUGAGGAGUCGCAGGACAUUGCAGAGUACUUCAUGUGUCGAUCAUACCUGAUUAGUUUCAACAUUGUAGAGUACUAUAUGCCCGAUCGUGUGUUGCAAUAAUUUGAGAAGAUACAAGGUAUUCCUGUUAUGCCACCCAAGUGGGAUAGGAGGGAGAAAGUCGGUGUACAUCCCACAAAUUGGACUGAAGAAUUGGGUAGGCAGAUAAAAGAUUGGAAACAACGAAAACAUGACGUUGUUAAGGCACCCUUAGAUAAAUCUAAUGGAGUACUUACAGAAGAGUACAUAACCUGGUACAAUAUGUUUACGCAAAGAAAAACAUCAUUUCACCUCCCGUCGCAGUCGCAAUCCCAUGUACAACCCUCCUCAAGCCAAUUGCAUGUACAACUCUCCAUAGGUCAAUCCCAAGAUAAUAUAUUGCGACAUACAUGUAUAGAGUUGCUACAAGCUGCACUUAAUGGUGAAGUAUUGGCCGGGGAAUCCAGACGUUAUGUAUAGGCGGCUCAUGAUCUGCUACUGACUAACACUUCUGUGGAGAGAGGUGUCAAGGAGAUAGUGCGGACUAUGGGAGAAGUGAAAAGUUAGAGUGAGGAGGGUGAUGAAAGUGAAAGAGAAGAAGACCAUGAUAAUGGAAAAGAAGAUGAUGAUGGAGAAGAGGAUGAUAGAAGAUGAUGAUGAUGAUGAUGUAGGAGAUAAUGGUGAUAGUGAGCAUGAAAAUGAGAGAAGAACAAAGGAAAAAGUUGAUCACUUUUAAGCGUCGGCAUUACAAGAGGAAUCGAGGUGGGAUUUGCGGCGGAGAGAUUGAUUUUUUUUUUAAUUUUGUCUUAGAUAUAUAUAUUUCAAACAAAUGUUAAGUAAAAAAUAUGGUUGAUUUUGAUCGCCAUUCAUAUGUAUUUUUGGAUUUGAUCAGUAUGUUUGAAACAUAUGUUAGGUAAA